ACAUCUCAACUCCUCACGGUUCGCCCGUGAUGAGCUUGGACUUUGGGGGUCUUGCUGGCCUGUGGGUCGGCUCCUCUCAAAUGAAUUAGCUUGCCAGUGUUUGGUGGCGUCACAGGUGUGAUAACUAUCUACGCUUGUGGUUUUCCACCAGGUAACCUCCAGCAAUGGGGGUUCACUGGAGCUCACAAAUGUCUCUCCUCGGUGAGGACAGCUCUUUGAAC
rnacentral:misc_RNA from 1 species